rnacentral:rRNA from 1 species
AACGUACGCUGGCGGCACGCCUAACACAUGCAAGUCGAACGAGAUAGCAAUAUCUAGUGGCAGACGGGUGCGUAACAUGUGGGAAUCUGCCUUUUGGGGGAAACCUGUGCUAAUACCGGAUAAGUCCUCACGGAGAAAGAUUUAUCGCCGAAAGAUGAGCCCGCACUUGAUUAGCUUGUUGGUAAGGUAAAAGCUUACCAAGGCUACGAUCAAUAGCUGAUUUGAGAGGAUGAUCAGCCACACUGGGACUGAGACACGGCCCAGACUCCUACGGGAGGCAGCAGUGGGGAAUCUUGCACAAUGGAGGAAACUCUGAUGCAGCGAUGCCGCGUGAGUGAAGAAGGCCCUUGGGUUGUAAAGCUCUUUUGUCGGGAAAGAUAAUGACUGUACCCGAAGAAUAAGGUCCGGCUAACUUCG